UCCUGGGUGGUCUAAUGGUUAGGACUCAGCACUUUCGCUGCUGCAGCCCAGGUUCAAUCCCUGGUCUGGGAC
rfam:Sus scrofa chromosome 17.